CAAUCAUAUCAAGUUGAAACACCAGUUCUCAUCUGAUCACUGAAGUUAAGCAGCAUUGAGCCUGGUCAGUACCUACAUGGGCAAUCAUCUUAGAA